rnacentral:rRNA from 1 species
CCUACGGGUGGCAGCAGUGAGGAAUAUUGGUCAAUGGACGCAAGUCUGAACCAGCCAUGCCGCGUGCAGGAAGACGGCUCUAUGAGUUGUAAACUGCUUUUGUACGGGGGUAAACGCAGAUACGCGUAUCUGGCUGACAGUAUCGUACGAAUAAGGAUCGGCUAACUCCGUGCCAGCAGCCGCGGUAAUACGGAGGAUUCAAGCGUUAUCCGGAUUUAUUGGGUUUAAAGGGUGCGUAGGCGGUCGGAUAAGUUAGUGGUGAAAUAUCUAGGCUCAACUUCGCAAUCGCCUAUGAUACUGUAGGGCUAGAGAGUAGACGAGGUAGGCGGAA